rnacentral:piRNA from 1 species
AGUGAUUAACAAAGGAACAAAGA